ACGGAGGGAGCGAGCGUUAAUCGGAAUUACUGGGCGUAAAGCGCGCGUAGGCGGCUUUGUAAGUCGGAUGUGAAAGCCCUGGGCUCAACCUGGGAAUUGCAUUCGAUACUGCAUGGCUAGAGUAUGGUAGAGGGAAGUGGAAUUUCCGGUGUAGCGGUGAAAUGCGUAGAUAUCGGAAGGAACACCGGUGGCGAAGGCGACUUCCUGGGCCAAUACUGACGCUGAGGCGCGAAAGCGUGGGUAGCAAACAGG
rnacentral:rRNA from 1 species